rnacentral:rRNA from 1 species
UCGAGAAUCUUCCGCAAUGGGCGAAAGCCUGACGGAGCGACACCGCGUGCAGGACGAAGGCCCUCGGGUUGUAAACUGCUGUCACGCUCUAGGAACCCCAUGUCGUGAAUAGCGGCAUGGCUGACCAAGGCGAAAGGAAGUGGCGGCUAACUCUGUGCCAGCAGCCGCGGUAAGACAGAGGCCACGAACGUUGUUCGGAAUCACUGGGCGUAAAGCGUGCGCAGGCGGUUGUGUAAGUCAGAUGUGAAAUCCCCGGGCUCAACCUGGGAAUUGCAUUUGAGACUGCACGGCUAGAGUGUGUCAGAGGGGGGUAGAAUUCCACGUGUAGCAGUGAAAUGCGUAGAUAUGUGGAGGAAUACCGAUGGCGAAGGCAGCCCCCUGGGAUAACACUGACGCUCAUGCACGAAAGCGUGGGGAGCAAACAGGAUUAGAUACCCCCGUAGUCCCUGAGCGGGCUGGCAAGGCGCAU